CAGCUGGGAUCCUCUUCCGGAUGAAUAGUCUCCUCCAAAAGUUGUUAAGAAGGGUGGUUCUUUGCCUCCUCUUUCCGGUUCUCGCAAGAGGAGGCGCCCGACUCAAUUGAAACCAUUGAGUAUUCCUGCUGAAUCUCUACCUGCUAAGGCUCCAAAAAUGGGGUCUUCUUCUUUCAGUUCAAUCAUUGACCUCGUCGAGCGUCAGCUUGGACGUCAAGUUAGUCGGAGUAGCUCGGAAGUGAUAUCUUCUCGUAUGACUCUGCAUCCUACCAAACCUUUAGUUGUGAAGACAGUCCCGAAUCCUAAGCACCCUCUACAUACUCCUUCCGACAUGUUAGCAACGAUGAGCACGUCCGGCUCAGAUCUUUCUGUACGUGACUGUUCUCCGGGUGCGAGUGAUGCUGAGCUUAAGGAAGACGCCAGAUUUAAGGAGGAUGCUGAGAAACAAAGUCCUUCCUCUUCUAAGUCGCGAUAGGGGUAAGCAAGAGAACACUCAUGCUAAAGGCAGUGAAUCAGGAAGUGCGAGUGAGAAACGGCAGAAACCAGUAAAUCCGACUCCAAAGGUGUCGCGCAGCAUAGAUGAAAAUGUGGUGCUGAUGGCUACUCCGGAAGAUCCUAAAUUUCGGUAAUCCCGCGUGUGAGUGCUGAGGAGGCCGGUGUAGAUGAUCGCUUCCUUUUAGUGCAUGGUUUUUGGGUUUCUCCUGCUAAAGCCGCCAACUAUCGCCGCAUAGUCGAGAAGUUUGGUCAUAUGUCUGUGCAUGAGGGAAUGGACGCGGGUGCUUUGAUCGUGACAAACGAAGAUUUACUAGAUAUUGCAGAUGGUCUUGCUCAUGUGGACGAAGAGACGAUCGAACCCGUCAAUUUAAAGCGGUGGGAAAGCACCAUUCAAAUGUCUCUGCUCCUUCAAUUCCCCAUUCAGUGGUUGAAGGAUCUGCUGGAUGCUGUGAAAACGAGUAACAACAUGCGCCAUACUCUGCCUAAGGAAAUUAACGAAUUAGAUCAAGAGUAUGCAUGUCUGCUCCAAAUAUCCCAUGCUAAGAAGGAGGCGUAUGAUCAGUUGAUGGCAGGUGUGGGUCGAGCUACUGCUGAGCUGAGGGAUGCCCGAGCUGUUGCAAAGGGAGUUCGCGCGUCUCGAUAAGAAGAAGGCGGAGUAUGCCGCGUUGGGUGUUUAGUGUUACAUUUGCUAUUGGAUUGCUCAGUUUUCUUGUUUGGUUAAACAAUAACUGUUAUUGUUGGAUUUUAUUUUAUUUAAUCUGUAAGAUGCUUUAUUACUUGGUUAUUGUUGAUUAUUAUGG